CAAUUUGAUCUUAUCAUCCUUUUCUUAAUGCAAUAAGAAGACAAAUUCUACCUCUUCAAUUACCACCUUCACGGUUAAGAAAUGACUUGGGAUAAGGCCAAAUUUGUUUCAUCCAAUUCCUAUAAGAAUCAAAUUAUAGUUAUCAAGUGACAUAGUUAAUCCUAUUUUCUUCCUCCUUCUCUUGCAAGUCUUAGCAACAAACAUACUACUUUCCAACCGUUAAAGAAAUACCGCAAUUACUGUCACCCCUCUUCUCCUACUACCGCCUGACCUCUAUCAUCAUCGGUCAACCGUCGCCGCCCCCCGUGUGCGCUGCCUCCCCUGUACUGCCCAAAACCACCCAUCCAUUUAUUUCAUUUUGGGUGAUGCGUGCUAUGUUCUUGCCAAGUUAAAGAUUGGUCUUAUGAAAUCAAGCUCUUAAACUUGUUUAUAUAUACACCCAAAAAGAAUCGGACCUCGGAGCUCAGUGAGAACGAUAGAAUAAAGGCUAACAGGAAGGUUAUCAGACUGUAAAUCGAGGUACUGCUGGGGAUGAUGGAGACGAGUAGUAGCGAGGAUUUUACUUUCAGUUAUCACUUAAUAGUAGUUAUAGUUUUAAUUUGUUUAAUUUGAAUAGUAAGACUAAGCUACUUAGUAAAGUUUGAGAUAAGAUAGGAUUUUCUAUUAUAAAAAUUAAGAAUAAUGUUUGUUAUAAAUAGAUUACUAUGUUUUAUAAAUCAAGUUUGUUAAUUAAGUAUGUUUGUUGCCUUGUAAAUCUCGUGAGGGAUUUACGGCAGUGA